AUGCCGCCUCCGCCUCCGCCCCCGCCUCUCGCCCAGAGCAUGCCCCGUCCGACCGCGGCGGCCGCCGGGGAGGACCACGCGACGAUGGACGAGGCACGCCCAGCAGCAAGGUGUGAGAUAUGUGGGAGUGGAGAGAACCAGCAUGUUAUGUUCAGCUGCAUCCAGUGCAACGGCUGUCAACAUCGUUAUUGCCUGCUGGUGGUGGAGUUUGAAAUGAGAUAUGACUGGUGUUGCUCUGAAUGCAAAAAAAAGGCUAAUUGGGACCCAAAGCCUAUUCAAGGUGAAAAAACAGAGUUUCAAAGGCCUGAGAAGAGUCACAGGAAUGUGGCCCAUCAAAUUGGUGUUAAAACACCCCAGAUAUAUGAAAAUUCUAAAGUGAAGUUCAUUCCCUGUGAAGAGGCCUCACUGUUGAGUAGAGAGAAGCCAGCAGUUCAUUAUACGCGAAGAUUUGUCGCGCGACGUAGUCAGGCUAAUCCUGCAUCUCUUCCUAAUCUGAAGUGCUCAUCCCCCAGUAGACAGGUUCAUCCUGCAUCUCCACGUAUGAAGUGCUCAUCCCCCAGUAGACAGGUCCAUCCCGCAUCUCCUCAAACUAUGAAAUGCAUAUCACCCAGUAGACAGGUUCAUCCUGCAUCUCCCCCAAACAUGAAACCUUCGUCCAGUAUGAAGAGCAUACUUCCCAGUAGACAGGGUCGCCCUCCAUCUCCUCAAAGUAUGAAACAGUCGUGCAGUAUGAAGUGUGUAUCUCCCAGUAGGAGUGAUGGUCAAGCAUUUUCCUUGAAACGAUGCGCUGUUGCAAGUCAAAACCCGAUAAAAGCUGAUGAUACAAAGAAGAGACAGAAAGUGCAGUCAGGUGCGAUGAUUCCUAUGAUUCCACAUAAUACAAAAGGAGAAGUUACAAAAAUUGACCAGCAGCUUCAAGAUCAGCCUAAAGAAGAGAAGGUAGCCAAUGCAGAUAGAGGAAAAUGCAACUCCUGGGUAGACGAUCAACCUACUGGGAAAAGUGCACUCAAUGCUUCAGUGCUAACAGAUGCUGAUAGUGGAUAUGGAUCUGGAACAAAGAGUCUGCACAACAAUAUAGACAUGCCAGUGAUCAUCAGCUCAAGUGCAGAGUAUGCAAGACGCCCUCCACCAGAAGCACGUUGCUGGAAGGGAUGCUUUCUUCUCUCUGAUGGAGAAUGUUCUAAUCUUGGUGAAUUUAAAGCAUACUACCCAUCUGUAGUAUCAUCCAGAGUUUAUAAUAUAGCCAAGAAGAUGCCAAACAAUAUACAGUUGAAGAUAUCACCUCGAAUGAAUUACUGGCCAAAGACCUUUGACGAAUUCUGUCCAGUUUAUGACGACAUUGCCUUGAUAUUUUUCUCUGCUGAACUUGACUGUCAUAACAAAAAGCAUCCUCGUCGCUUGGACGCGUACAACAGUUUUGUCAUGAAGGCAUAUAUUGAUGACAUCAUGCUGUUGAUAUAUUCCUCGGAAGUGCUUCCACCUGAUUCUCAGUGGAUAGACGGAGAGACUUACUUAUGGGGAGUUUUUGUGAAGCCGAAGGCAAAGAGCAAUCAUGCGCACUUAGGUUCAGUUGCUACAUGA
rnacentral:rRNA from 1 species